GACGAACGCUGGCGGCGUGCCUAAUACAUGCAAGUUGAGCGCUGAAGGUUGGUACUUGUACCAACUGGAUGAGCAGCGAACGGGUGAGUAACGCGUGGGAAUCUGCCUUUGAGCGGGGGACAACAUUUGGAAACGAAUGCUAAUACCGCAUAAAAACUUUAAACACAAGUUUUAAGUUUGAAAGAUGCAAUUGCAUCACUCAAAGAUGAUCCCGCGUUGUAUUAGCUAGUUGGUGAGGUAAAGGCUCACCAAGGCGAUGAUACAUAGCCGACCUGAGAGGGUGAUCGGCCACAUUGGGACUGAGACACGGCCCAAACUCCUACGGGAGGCAGCAGUAGGGAAUCUUCGGCAAUGGACGAAAGUCUGACCGAGCAACGCCGCGUGAGUGAAGAAGGUUUUCGGAUCGUAAAACUCUGUCGGUAGAGAAGAACGUUGGUGAGAGUGGAAAGCUCAUCAAGUGACGGUAACUACCCAGAAAGGGACGGCUAACUACGUG
rnacentral:rRNA from 1 species